GUGACACUGGAUUCUCUCCAUCAUGGAGGGGGUGGGCCUUUGCUUGGGAAAACACAGGCUUUCUGCAUGUGGGUUUUCCUCUCUAUGAUCGUGCUUUUGCCGGCACUAUUAUCCCAACAUUGCCUCUGAUUAAUGUGCUUAUUGCACAGAGGACAUGCGUUGAAGGACUCAGGCCCAGAGGACUCACCAUACUACACCUAGCUUCCCUCUCACCCAGAAGCAGCUAACCUGAUGAAACAAAUGCCCUGGCCUUGGGAAGACUUAGCUAUAUCCUAAUUGGAGCCAACACCCAGAAAAAAAGAAGCACUGUCCUAAAGAUAGUAGAUGAUUUGAAUCAGCGUGUGAUAUGGGGUGCUGAUUUUUCCAAAGCUUGAAUAUAUGGGUCCAGGAAUCAAGGACCAAGUGGGAGUGUUUUCUCCACUAUUACACAAGAUUUCUCACUUACAGAAUUUUUAUAUUCUUCCUCUAUCAAGCUCUACUACCUUUGGUUCCAACGGAAACAUGCCUGUACCAGGGCCAGCACCCUCGAACAGUGACUGACAGGAGCUGGUAUUUAUAUAUUCCAGAUUCUUCUUUGGCUGGAGACAACCCUGAGGUGUGUGUUUCAUGCUAUCUGAAACCCCCGUGGGAUUAAACUCCUGUUGCAUGUAGUGGUAACGAGUUUGAUAACACAUUCUGCCUACAUUUUUUUAAUCUUAUUUCCUCCUCCUCUACUGGUGGUUCCUGAAACUCUUAAAUAAAUUGAUUAGACUCAAAUUCUUGUCUUGUGUCUGCUUCUGGGGGAAAUCCAGUCUAAGACUGUUGAGCAUUUUAUUGUGGGUUUUUCCAACUUUGCAUUCCCGGAAUAAACUAUGUUUAUUUCAAGUGAUAUAUUAUAUAUUGCUGGGUUUGUUCUGCCAUUAUUCUGUGGAUGAUUUUUGCACCUACAUCCACGAGUUAGAUUAACCUGUAAUGGUCUUUUCUCUCACACUGUCAUGGUCAGACCCUCUAGCAAGAUAAUGCUUGCCUUAUAAAAUGUAUUGGAGAGCAUUCCUUGUCUUUCUAUUGACUGCAAUAGUUGGUGAAAGACUGGAAUUAUUACUUCCUUGAAUGUUUAAAGAUAUGUUUGGAGCCAUCCAUGGCUUCACAUAUUUUAUAUAGUUUUUCCAUCCUGUAGAGUGUGUAUAUAAAUACAUAAAGGCCUCUAAGGUGCUGCUUCUUCCUGAUCUCCAGAUCUCAUCAAUAGGACAUCCUAGGGGACGGUCAGGCUGACUAAAUUAUGGCUUAGAUCUGGAAAAUCAAUGCAACUUGGAGGCAAGAUUAUAAUGUAAAGGUACUUCCAUCCCUUCCAGGUAAAAAAGCAAAUAGAAAACAACAAAAAAACAAGCCAGACACCUCUUUUUAAAAUUCUAACUGCAGUAAGGUAGAAAAUCACCAAAUUGUAGACUACAGGACAGGAGCCAGGAACUCUGCUAAUUUGCUCCAGUAAGGAGCCCACAUGAGGACCAGCAGCAACCACUGUGCUCAGCACGGAAGCAAGCCUGUGAUGGCCCAGAGUGAGGACUCCGCUGCCCCGGGUACUGCCAAAGAAAGAGGGAGAUCCACAUUUCCUCCAGGGACAAGACAUUGCUUUUUACUGACUAUUUUGGUAAAGAGGAGAAAUUCCCAGCCCCUUCAUAAAAUUACAGCCUUUACAGGACAGAGAACCAAUGCAGACUUUCUUCCGUCUUUAAGGUAUACCUUUCAACAGUAUUUUUAGAAGCUGCAGAAAUAUUACACAUGGGUAUAGUGUUCUCCUAGGGCUUAAGGGGGUCUAAGUAUUCUAUUAAUCACUUGCCCCCUAAAUCUUUGACUAAGGCACUCUAGUGACCUCAAGAUAUAGUAUUAGUUCUGAGCCAUUGUCUGAUCACACAGCGAGGUGUGAGUAUUUCUUUUUCUCUAAUAUUCUCCAAAGGCCUCUCUCCAUGGGAGGCUGAGAGUAAUACUCCCAGUACACACAGGAAAUAUUAUCGCUGGGGCCAUUGGGCUCUUCAGUGUUGGUGCUCUAGGCUUGUAAACUCUGCUGGUGGGUUUGGAUCAGGGGGUGUGACUUUAUUGUGGUGGCCCAAAACUCUGCUUUCAAUAACUGAAGAACCAUUCUUAUGAGGUUAUACAAGCCAAGUGUGUCUUCAAGAAGGUUGUCCUUCUCUUUCCUCCCUAGUAGCCCCAUGGGCCAUGUACCAUUCAAGGUUGGUCAGACUAGUGAUUACCCAGAACUUCUUCAAAGUCUUCUGCUCACUCCCUGGGUACUCGGGAUAGCACAGGUGGACUCACAGGCUGACAUGCUACUCUCCAGUGCAUUCCUCUAGCUUUGAAGAAGGAAAUGUCUUCUGGAAGAGCCCAUGACUUGUCACUAGGGGUUGAGGAUAACUCAAAAUAGGAAGGGGUUCAGAGGAUCAUAAGCUAGAAAAGAAGGACAGAAACCCAAAACAACACGCAAAGACCACAGACAUGAAAAGCAGCCCCACUGCCUCCCAAUGCCAACAAGAGUCACAAUCACUUUUAGCAGGGGACAAAUAAUGCAUUUUUUUUUCUUUGAAUCAUUUCUGACUUCCUGGCUUUUAAUAACAUAAUAAGAGUGUAAAACUCGAGUUAUCAUUUUCUAUGAUAUAUUCUCAUUUAAUUAUGCUUGCUAUUGGUAUUCUAUUUUGGAAUAAAUACAUCUGUGAUUUUUAUUUCAAAUUGUAGGUUGCAAAACCAAUUUAAUGUUUUGUGUCAAGCAUGAACAAAAAAAGAGACAGAACAAAAUAGAAAAUAUUAUAAUGCACUGCAUAUACAAAAUAAGGCUAAGUAUUGUUUGGUGAAACUUGUUUCUUUUCACAUACAGUGAGAUACAAUAAAAUACUGAACGAUUCUUUAGAUUUAACACAAUCUGGUGGACGGUUUAUAUUAUCCCUAUUUAUUUUCAACCUCACCUUUGAUUCCUAUCUCAGCUGGGGCAUAAAGCCAACAUAGAUUUCAAGAAGAGUAAAUACAUGCUAUUCUUCUCUGAGGUUUAACUACCUCAAAAUGGUCUGUUUAUUUCUUUAACAAUGAAAACAUAACUAAGUAUGCAAUGAUUUUAUGACAAUAUUUCUCCCCUGUCAACACUGUAAUCCAUUGUCCUCUGGGAUUUGUAUUGUGGAGUCUAAGAUCUAAUUUUUUGAAUGUCUGAUAACGUGUGUGUGUGUGUGUGUGUGUGUGUGUGUGUGUGGUAUAUGUUGUAGCUCCUUUCCCUUCCUUAUCUUUUUAAUUACACUGCUUUCUCAGCACCUGUCUAGGAGUCAGUCUCUUCUUUCUGUCCACCUGCCCUUUCAAUUUAUAUACUCAUGCUUUUACUUUAAAUUGCAUUUGUAGUUAUUACAACGAGUUCAGUGCCAUCUCCACUCAAAGCAGUCCCAAUCUUUCACUCUUUCCUUUGGCUCCUCAAAGUGAUCAAUUAUAAAGCAGAGGUACUGAUUGCCUUCAAGCUUCAGGUUAUAGGACCUUAGGCUGGGAGCUGAUGGCCCCACACAGCUGAUCUUCUGGUUUUGUAAUGAGAGAAAAUGGAAGAAUCUCUCUGGAAGGAAAUUGAACACUUUAAUAGUUCUGCCUAUCUUUCUUUGCCAGAUCAAUUGUAAGUUAGCACUAAAAUGUCUCUAGAGUUACUAGAGACAUUCUAACUCUAGAAAGUUACAGUCUCUCGUGCCUCCUGUAUCCCUGCCAUGUCAAUACAAAGGGGCAGCCUGGCUGGAGGACUCAGUGCUGUGCCCCAAGGAGUUUUGCUAACAAGUUAGUUAAGCACCAGAAGAGGUCAGGCUGGGGAGAGAGCCUGUGUCCUGAUUUUGGAAGUCAUUCACGUUGGAAUUUCCACACAGUCCUGCUCUGCCCUGUGCUCUCCCCUUGGCGUGGUCUUGUCUGAGGCGCCCUUGCCUGAUGAUCUUGCCUCUUGCCACUCUCCCCACACUUAAUGUUCUUGUCCUCUUUCUUGUCUUUGAGCAAGCCUAGAUGGACUUCGCCUCUGGGGUUUUGCACAGGUCCUUCCCUUUCCCUGGAAGGCUCUGCUCCCAGAUCUCUUGCUGGGCUUCCUAUCAUUCAGAUUUGCAUAAACAUCACCUCCUCAGAGCAACCUCCUCUGACCUCCUAGUCACACCCCUGUAUAUCAUCCUACUGGGUUUUCUUCUUAGAAUUUAUCAGUAUCUUAUGUUCUUGCUUUUGAAUGUUUAUUGUCUGUCUCUUCUUAGAUCUAGGGAAGAGCCUUAUCAAUUUCAUUGCUGAAACCCUGAAGUCUUAACACUUCCUGAAACACUGAGUGCUCCCAUAAUUAAUGAGCAGUUCCGAAAAUAAAAUUACUUGGGCCUAAUAUUUGAAAUUAUGUGCACACACAUUUUUUAGCUUCAUAGUCUUAACUCCAAAAUACAAUCAUCAGAGUUUUGUGUGUUAUCUCAGACAGGUUACAUUUACCUCCUGCAAUUAUUUUUUCUUAUACAAACUAAGUUAUGUUUAAUAUUUUUACUUUAAAAAAACAGGAUAAAUAACAGAAUCACUUAUUUGAAUGGCAUCUACGUAUCCAUUGCAAAGUUACAUUGCUAGUCCUGAAAAUUCAACCAACAUCAUCCUGUAUCAUUAGUCCAUGCUGUUUACAACAAAUUGCAAUGAUUUUUUUUCUGAACUUAAAAAUGUGGUUUUUUUUGUACUCCCCCUGUACACACCCACACAUAUGUGUGUCUUAACAUACCUUCCUAAAUUAUAUUCAAGAACUUUAAGGCAAACCAGUUCAAAAUUAUAACUAUCAGGUUUUCUUAGAUGCUCAAAAUCAUCUAAACAUUAUUCUUUUAGGCAAGCAAAUCAUAAUCAAAUCACUCAGAAUCAAUGAAUUGAUUGGCCGUAUGAAGGACCACCUCCAUAAAACAGAUAUGCAAAAAUAUACAUGGAAUUCCAGUGGGUUCAUGAACUCCACUAAGCUUAUUUACUAACCCUGACUAGCGGCUUCUGCUUUAAAUAAUUUUUAUCUUAUUUUAUUAUUUUACCCUCAUGUGUUUUCAUUUGCAUUAUUUUAUUGCAAGCAAUUUAUAAGUCUUUAAGAAAGAACAAAAGCAUUCAACUUAAAUUCAAGUAAGCAAUUUUAAUAUUUUAGGAUUUUCUCUUAUGAUAAACAUUACAUAACCUUGGAAACAAGGUUGAGAAUGUCUGA
rnacentral:lncRNA from 10 species